rnacentral:siRNA from 1 species
UCAGCUGAAUCUAGUUUUCAAUGG